CCUACGGGAGGCAGCAGUAAGGAAUAUUGGUCAAUGGGGGCAACCCUGAACCAGCCAUGCCGCGUGCAGGAAGACGGCCCUACGGGUUGUAAACUGCUUUAUACGAGAAUAAAUCUCGCUACGUGUAGUGAGUUGAAUUACGUAGAGUAGCUCGUCCA
rnacentral:rRNA from 1 species